UCCAGGAUGGCCGAGUGGUUAAGGCGUUGGACUUAAGUUCCAAUGUACGAAUGUACGCGUGGGUUCGAACCCCACUCCUGUUA
rfam:Nematostella vectensis strain CH2 x CH6 NEMVEscaffold_350_Cont24649, whole genome shotgun sequence.